rnacentral:rRNA from 1 species
UCCAAGCCGAGACGGGUAGCUGGUCUGAGUAGGAUGAUCAGCCACACUGGAACUGAGACACGGUCCAGACGUCCUACGGGAGGCAGCAGUGGGGAAGUCUUGCGCAAUGGGCGAAAGCCUGACGCAGCGACGCCGCGUGAGUGAUGAAGGCCUUCGGGUUGUAAAGCUCUGUGGAGGGGGGAACGAAUAAGGGUUGGCUAACAUCCAGCUCGAUGACGGUACCCCUUUAGCAAAGCACCGGCUAACUCUGUGCCAGCAGCCGCGGUAAGACAGAGGGUGCAAACGUUGUUCGGAAUUACUGGGCGUAAAGCGCGUGUAGGCUGCUCGGAAAGUCGGAUGUGAAAGCCCUGGGCUCAACCUAGGAAGUGCAUUCGAAACUUCCGAGCUGGAGUGCUGGAGAGGAAGGCGGAAUUCUCGGUGUAGAGGUGAAUUCGUAGAUAUCGAGAGG